rnacentral:rRNA from 1 species
CCUACGGGAGGCAGCAGUGGGGAAUAUUGCACAAUGGGGGAAACCCUGAUGCAGCGACGCCGCGUGAGUGAAUAAGUAUUUCGGUAUUUAAAGCUCUAUCAGCAGGGAAGAAAAUGACGGUACCUGAUUAAGAAGCCCCGGCUAACUACGUGCCAGCAGCCGCGGUAAUACGUAGGGGGCAAGCGUUAUCCGGAUUUACUGGGUGUAAAGGGAGCGUAGACGGCAGCACAAGUCAGGAGUGAAAUGCCGGGGCUUAACCCCGGAACUGCUUUUGAAACUGUGAAGCUAGAGUACAGGAGAGGUAAGUGGAAUUCGUGGUGUAGCGGUGAAAUGCGUAGAUAUUAGGAGGAACACCAGUGGCGAAGGCGGCUUACUGGACUGUAACUGACGUUGAGGCUCGAAAGCGUGGGGAGCAAACAGGAUUAGAUACCCCAGUAGUC